rnacentral:tRNA from 1 species
CAGUAAGUAGUUUAAUAAAAAUAUUAAUUUUGGAGAUUAAUGAUGGGGCUUCCCUUUUACUGA